rnacentral:rRNA from 1 species
GACGAACGCUGGCGGCGUGCUUAACACAUGCAAGUCGAACGGUGAAGCGCCGACCUUGUUGGUGGGUGUGGAUGAGUGGCGAGCGGGUGAGUAACACGUGAAUAUCCUGCUACCUCCGGCUGGAUAACCGCAUGCAAGAGUGACUACUACGGGAUAUUCUGAAUCUGUCGCUUGAUGAGUCUGGGAAGGAUAUGGUUUCGGUGGUGGAUGGGUUCGCGGCCCAUCAGCUUGUUGGUGGGGUGAUGGCCUACCAAGGCGGUGACGGGUAGCCGGCCUGAGAGGGUGGACGGUCACACUGGGACUGAGACACGGCCCAGACUCCUACGGGAGGCAGCAGUGGGGAAUAUUGCACAAUGGGCGCAAGCCUGAUGCAGCGACGCCGCGUGAGGGAUGGAGGCCUUCGGGUUGUGAACCUCUUUCGCCAGUGAAGCAGGCCUGCCUCGUUUGUGGGUGGGUUGACGGUAGCUGGAGAAGAAGCGCCGGCUAACUACGUG